rnacentral:rRNA from 1 species
UGAGGAAUAUUGGUCAAUGGGCGAGAGCCUGAACCAGCCAAGUAGCGUGCAGGAUGACGGCCCUAUGGGUUGUAAACUGCUUUUAUGUGGGGAUAAAGUGCGUGACGUGUCAUGCAUUGCAGGUACCACAUGAAUAAGGACCGGCUAAUUCCGUGCCAGCAGCCGCGGUAAUACGGAAGGUCCGGGCGUUAUCCGGAUUUAUUGGGUUUAAAGGGAGCGUAGGCUGUCUAUUAAGCGUGUUGUGAAAUUUACCGGCUCAACCGGUGGCUUGCAGCGCAAACUGGUCGACUUGAGUAUGCAGGAAGUAGGCGGAAUUCAUGGUGUAGCGGUGAAAUGCUUAGAUAUCAUGACGAACUCCGAUUGCGCAGGCAGCUUACUGUAGCAUAACUGACGCUGAUGCUCGAAAGUGCGGGUAUCAAACAGG